rnacentral:lncRNA from 1 species
AAAUGCAAGGACCCAAUUGAGCAAAACUUAUCGCACAGAGCAUCACUCUAUUAUCCAGUCAAUGAGUCAAAUGCAAUGCCUCCACAAAUGCAAUUUAGACCGCGAAUUCAACUUUCUCAGGUAUUUAUAGUUUCUCAUUACCUUUAAAUUAUAAUAUUACUUGUAAAGGAUAUCACUUUGAAAACAAGUAUAAUUAACUUUGAUUCUGAUAAUUUUAUUGUGCGUCUUAUUUUCUGUAUACAAACCAGCAACAAUUUAUGGGAAGCUAUGAUACCAUAAACAAUGAGGAAUCUUCCACCAACAUGGUUAACCUAUCACAGGUAGUAUAAUGCAUUCAAUUAAAUUAUUUUGCCAUGACUAUUACUUUUUCAAAUAAUAUUAGUCAUAUCUCCUUACAUAUGAAUAUGUUUAUGAGUACAGACACAAUUCCCAUUGAGAGGAGUAGACUUGUUUGGCUCUCAACUCACAAGCCAAGAAGAUUCAUAUAUGGGGAGACGUCAAUUUGCGCAAUGAGAAGACAAAGUAUUGGAAAAGCUGUGAAAAUUGGGAAAACUUUUGGUUAUGUGUCUUAGUCAAAUGGUUGUGGAGUUGACUAUAGUUAGUUAAUUAUUUUGAUUUUUCCAUGAAGUGACUUUUAUAUGUAUGGUUUGUGUCCUAAGGGGAAUUGAUUGUUGUUAAUUUGGAAGAGCAUGACAAUUUUUCCUGGAUUUAAUAUUAUAGGAAUGGUUUAUGCCAUAUUUGAAACGAUUGAUAAGUUGGAUUAGUUUGGC